rnacentral:lncRNA from 1 species
AGAGAUGGGUUUCUGGACUCGCGAAGCAGCUGCAACAAGGCAUCACUCACUGUAUAAGUAUUUCCAUUUCUGAGAGCAAAAGGAAGAACUUAAGCGGGCGGCACUUGGAGUGUAAAUUGCUUUGUAGUAUUUAAAGGCAGAAUGGAUCCUGGGCAGCCGAGCUGAUCAUGAGGUUCCUGAGGCCUCCUAGCCAUGCUUCCUGUGCAGCCUAUGGAACUCAACAAACCGGCAGGACUUCCUGUGAAAUCAUGACCACCAUGUGCUCUUUCAGCCUCUAUCAGUUCCUACCUCUAAGCACCUGAGAGCCAAAGCAAACCACAGGAAACCACAGAAUGAAAGCCAAGCAUAUUCCAUCAUUUCCUAAAACCAAGAUAGAGCACAUAUGGGAACUUGUGAAAUAAGGAUGCCCUGCGGUUGUUUUCAGGACUGAAGACAACAGCUCCACGAUGUAUCUUUGCAUAAGAAUACACUUGUAUAAUAAGUUUUUUUUUUUAGAGAAAUUGCAUGUAUCUGCCUUAUAAACUUUUUCAUUCAUUCAUUUUCUUU